rnacentral:rRNA from 1 species
ACGAACGCUGGCGGCGUGCCUAAUACAUGCAAGACGAACGCACUCUCGUUUAGAUUGAAGGAGCUUGCUCCUGAUUGAUAAACAUUUGAGUGAGUGGCGGACGGGUGAGUAACACGUGGGUAACCUGCCCUAAAGUGGGGGAUAACAUUUGGAAACAGAUGCUAAUACCGCAUAAAACCUAACACCGCAUGGUGUAGGGUUGAAAGAUGGUUUCGGCUAUCACUUUAGGAUGGACCCGCGGUGCAUUAGUUAGUUGGUGAGGUAAAGGCUCACCAAGACCGUGAUGCAUAGCCGACCUGAGAGGGUAAUCGGCCACACUGGGACUGAGACACGGCCCAGACUCCUACGGGAGGCAGCAGUAGGGAAUCUUCCACAAUGGGCGAAAGUCUGAUGGAGCAACGCCGCGUGAGUGAAGAAGGUUUUCGGAUCGUAAAACUCUGUUGUUGGAGAAGAAUGUAUCUGAUAGUAACUGAUCAGGUAGUGACGGUAUCCAACCAGAAAGCCACGGCUAACUACGUGCCAGCAGCCGCGGUAAUACGUAGGUGGCAAGCGUUGUCCGGAUUUAUUGGGCGUAAAGCGAGCGCAGGCGGUUUCUUAAGUCUGAUGUGAAAGCCUUCGGCUCAACCGAAGAAGUGCAUCGGAAACUGGGAAACUUGAGUGCAGAAGAGGACAGUGGAACUCCAUGUGUAGCGGUGAAAUGCGUAGAUAUAUGGAAGAACACCAGUGGCGAAGGCGGCUGUCUGGUCUGUAACUGACGCUGAGGCUCGAAAGCAUGGGAGCAAACAGAAUUAGAUACCCUGGUAGUCCACGCCGUAAA